GGAAUCCCAGCUUCACCCUGUCAACUGCUUAGGAAUCCGGGCUUUUGCUGAUAUGCAUGCAUGUACCGACCUUCUGAACAAGGCCAACACCUAUGCAGGUGGAGAAGCCGAGGACGGGCUCAGGGAACCGGAGACGGAGAAGGCGCUGUCCUCUUCACUGCACGCGCCCUGGACCAGUGCUGGCCUUGAUCAUGCAGCUCUUCCAGGCCCACUGCUUCUUCCUGUCCACUAGGCCACAGCUGCCCUCCAGGCCCACUAUGCACACAUCUUCCCCUCCAAGGUUUGUUCUGCCCCUGCCCUGACUCCCAGCCCUGCGGGGGUCCUGACCCCACCUCACCUGGCUCAGACUCUGAUGCUGCCCUGGCUGCCCCACCACUGCCUCUGCCCGAGAGUCACGUGAGGCUGAGAGUAGGGGCAGGGGCAGCAGUGGUGCCAGUUGGGGGGCGGUCCAGUGGGAGGAGCCUCAGCCUCGUGGGCUGUUCCGUGGGACUGAUGACUGCAUGAUCUUCUGGGCACCUCACGGAUCUUCAACUGCAGGUGAAACGGAUGCUGGUGGUGGGUGCAGGGCCACUGGGAGCCGCUGCAUGGUCCCAGAGGCUGGACUGGGGCAGGUGCCAACUGAAGCUGCUGGGGCAGCAUGGGCAGGAUGUUCUGCACACAAACCUUGGAGAAGAAAAUGUGUGCAUAGCGGGUCCACUGCUGCUGCCCCUGCCCUGACUCCCAGCCCUGCCUGACCCCACCUCACCCUGCUCAGGCUCUGGUGCAACUCUGGGUGCCUUGCCCCUGCCUCUGCCCCAGAGUUGGGGCCUCGACAGCCUGGCUGGAAGGGGACACCCCAGCCCUGCCUCAACACCUGGGUCCCUCCAUAACUACCACAGGCAGAUGGGCGACCCCAAAGAAGAUCCCAGGACUCACAGUACCCCCUGAGAACAUGGACAGUAUGUGGGGGUAGCCAUGGAGGUCAGGAUGGUUAUCUUCUCCCGGGUAAAGCCAUUUAAUCCUUUCAGUUUGGGAUGGAAUAAGGCCUGCUUUUUUUAAUUUUUUUUUGAGACGGAGUCUUGCUCUGUCGCCCAGGCUGGAGUGCAGUGGUGCGAUCUUGGCUCACUGCAACCUUUUCCUGCCUGGUUCACGCAAUUCUCCUGCCUCAGCCUUCCGGGUAGCUGAGAUUACAGGUACACGCUACCACGUCCGGCUAAUUUUUGUAUUUUUAGUACAGACGGGGCUUCACCAUCUUGGCCAGGCUGAUUUCGAUCUCCUGACAUCGUGAUCCGCCUGCCUCCACCUCCCAAAGUGCUGGGAUUACAGGUGUGAGCCACCAGGCCUGGCCAAGGCCUGCUCCUCUUAUAUAUACCCACUAUCCCUGCAGCUGUACCGGGGGAAAGCUUGGCAGUUUCCCUCCUCCGAGCCCCUGUACAUAUCAUGAAGUGUGGGACCUUCAGAGCUUUUCACUUUUCGGAAAAUAGCUCCUGCUGGGGCUACAGGAUGGAGUGUGAAGAGGGCCUUGGGCCACAGGGAGGUGCCUGUCGACUAUGGGGAGUUCAUGCACCCCUUCUUUCCCCAGAGGGGCUGGACUCAGGUGAGUAUGGGGGUGGAAGCUCCUGCACUUCGACACAGGCAGCGGGAGGGUUUUCUCCCCAUUCCCUCUGCUAUCCCAACUUGAGUUGUACUUUUUAAGAAAGUGAUUCACCCUGCCUUUGCCCCCUUCCCCAGAACAGAACACGUUGAUCACGGGGAUAUUUUUUAUUGUGCCAGAAAGUUGCCAUGACCGUCAUUAAACCUGUUUAACACCAAAUAAUAAGGAAAAUAAAAUAAAAAAUUCGG
rnacentral:lncRNA from 1 species